rnacentral:ncRNA from 1 species
AGGUUUAAUUUUAGUUUGUUUUACGGCUGCUAAUACCUCGUCGGUUGAGGAGCAAAAGGAGGAAUCCGGUCGAGGAGGGGCUUGCGUCUAAUUAGCUAGUUGGUGAGGCAAUAGCUUACCAAAGCGAUGAUUAGUAGUUGGUCCAAGAGGAUGAUCGGCCACACUGGGACUGAGACACGGCCCAGACUCCUACGAGAGGCAGCAGUGGGGAAUUUUCCACAAUGGGCGAAAGCCUGACUGAGCAAUGCCACGUCGAGGUAGAAGGCCCAUGGGUUGUGAACUUCUUUUCCCGGAGAACAAACAAUGACGGUAUCUGGGGAAUAAGCAUUGGCUAACUCUGUGCUAGCAGUCGCGGUAAUAUAGAUGGUGCAAGCGUUAUCC